ACAAGCGGAGGAACAUGUGGUUUAAUUCGAUGAUACGCGAGGAACCUUACCUGGGCUUAAAUGGGGAGUGACAGCUGUCGAAAGAUGGUUUUCUUCGGACACUCUUCAAGGUGCUGCAUGGUUGUCGUCAGCUCGUGCCGUGAGGUGUCGGGUUAAGUCCCAUAACGAGCGCAACCCUUACCGUUAGGUUACCAUCAGGUUAAGCUGGGGACUCUAGCGGGACUGCCACCGUAAGGUGAGAGGAAGUGGGGAUGACGUCAAAUCAGCACGGCCCUUAUGUCCAGGGCUACACACGUGUUACAAUGGCCAGUACAAAGGGCAGCUACCGGGUGACCGGAUGCUAAUCUCUAAAGCUGGUCUCAGUUCGGAUCGAAGUCUGCAACCCGACUUCGUGAAGCUGGAUUCGCUAGUAAUCGCGCAUCAGCAUGCCGCGGUGAAUACGUUCCCGGGCCUU
rnacentral:rRNA from 1 species